GACGAACGCUGGCGGCGUGCCUAAUACAUGCAAGUAGAACGCUGAAGGAGGAGCUUGCUUCUCCGGAUGAGUUGCGAACGGGUGAGUAACGCGUAGGUAACCUGCCUGGUAGCGGGGGAUAACUAUUGGAAACGAUAGCUAAUACCGCAUAACAUUGACUAUUGCAUGAUAGUCAAUUAAAAGGUGCAAUUGCAUCACUACCAGAUGGACCUGCGUUGUAUUAGCUAGUUGGUGGGGUAAAGGCUCACCAAGGCGACGAUACAUAGCCGACCUGAGAGGGUGAUCGGCCACACUGGGACUGAGACACGGCCCAGACUCCUACGGGAGGCAGCAGUAGGGAAUCUUCGGCAAUGGACGGAAGUCUGACCGAGCAACGCCGCGUGAGUGAAGAAGGUUUUCGGAUGUAAAGCUUUGUUGUAAGAGAAGAACGAGUGUGAGAGUGGAAA
rnacentral:rRNA from 1 species